ACCAUUGGUCUUUGUUCAUCAUUGCCCAACACAUAGGACAUGUUUAUAUUUUGGAUUCAACAAAGAUAAAAGGCGAAAAGAAUGCUUCUAACUAUCGUCUUCAAGCCUAAUUCCUUCCGCCUUAGGAUCCGAGUUCAACUACACAAUGGUUGAUUGUAAGCAACAAAAGGGUGGAUGGGAAUGCGGCUACAUGGUUCUCCAACAUAUGUUUGACUUUGUCAAUUUGUAUCAAAACCAAUUUCCCGAUGAAAUGUGGCACAACACGAGAGUGGCUACGGAUAAUGAAAUAGAUGUUUUGUUGAUGACGUUGAUGCCGAAGUUUUUUAGCGAGUUAGGUAUUCCGUUAGUUUAGCUUAUGUGUAGUUUGUUAUGUAUUCACAAAUGAUUGUAAUUUGACGGGUUUAUUUCCGAAUUGGAUGUGGGCUUUAUUUUGGAUUUGAAUG